rnacentral:tRNA from 1 species
GCCUGGGUGGCUCAGUCGGGUUGAGCAUCUGACUUCGGCUCAGGUCAUGAUCUCACAGUUUGUGAGUUCAAGCCCUGCACUGGGCU